rnacentral:rRNA from 1 species
UUAACUGAGGAUUUGAUCCUGGUCCAGGAUGAACGCUGGCGGCGUGGAUAAGGCAUGCAAGUCGAGCGCAUUAUUUUCCGCAAGGAAGAUAAUGAGCGGCGAACGAGUUAGUAACACCUUGGUAACGUACCUUAGAGACGGGCACAGCUCGCCGAAAGGCGGGGUAAUUCCCGAUGAUGAUGCGGGGACGAAAGUCAUUCGCAUCCAAAGUCGCAAGACACUCUUAGAGCGGCCUAGGUCCCAUCAGCUAGUUGGUAGGGUAACGGCCUACCAAGGCUACGACGGGUAGGGGAGGUGAGAGCCUGACCCCCAACGACGAGACUGAGACACGGCUCGUACUCCUACGGGAGGCAGCAGUCAAGAACAUUCGACAAUGGGCGAAAGCCUGAUCGAGCGACGCCGCGUGCAGGAUGAAGGCCUUCGGGUUGUAAACUGCGGUAGUAUGGGAAAAAUGCAAAUGAUCGUACCAUACGGAAAGAGGUGGGUAACUACGUGCCAGCACCAGCGGUAAUACGUAGACCUCAAGCGUUAUCCGGAUUUAUUGGGCGUAAAGAGCAUGUAGGAGGUUUUGUGCGUCUUUUGUUAAAGCCCACCGCCCAACGGUGGAAGUGCAGGAGAUACGACAAAACUAGAGGAGGUUAGAGGUGCCUGGAACGCACGGUGUAGGGGUGAAAUCCGUUGAUAUCGUGCGGAACACCAAAGGCGAAGGCAGGGCACUGGGACCUUCCUGACUCUGAGAUGCGAAAGCGUGGGGAGCAAAAAGGAUUAGAUACCCUUGUAGUCCACGCCCUAAACGAUGCCUGCUUGCUGUUUCGAGUAUCGACCCUCGGAGCGGCGGAGCUAACGCGUUAAGCAGGCCGCCUGGGAAGUACGGCCGCAAGGCUAAAAC